AGUCGUACGCUUCUUUUUCCACCGGAGCUUGCUCCACCGGAAAAAGAAGAGUGGCGAACGGGUGAGUAACACGUGGGUAACCUGCCCAUCAGAAGGGGAUAACACUUGGAAACAGGUGCUAAUACCGUAUAACAAUCGAAACCGCAUGGUUUUGAUUUGAAAGGCGCUUUCGGGUGUCGCUGAUGGAUGGACCCGCGGUGCAUUAGCUAGUUGGUGAGGUAACGGCUCACCAAGGCCACGAUGCAUAGCCGACCUGAGAGGGUGAUCGGCCACAUUGGGACUGAGACACGGCCCAAACUCCUACGGGAGGCAGCAGUAGGGAAUCUUCGGCAAUGGACGAAAGUCUGACCGAGCAACGCCGCGUGAGUGAAGAAGGUUUUCGGAUCGUAAAACUCUGUUGUUAGAGAAGAACAAGGAUGAGAGUAACUGUUCAUCCCUUGACGGUAUCUAACCAGAAAGCCACGGCUAACUACGUGCCAGCAGCCGCGGUAAUACGUAGGUGGCAAGCGUUGUCCGGAUUUAUUGGGCGUAAAGCGAGCGCAGGCGGUUUCUUAAGUCUGAUGUGAAAGCCCCCGGCUCAACCGGGGAGGGUCAUUGGAAACUGGGAGACUUGAGUGCAGAAGAGGAGAGUGGAAUUCCAUGUGUAGCGGUGAAAUGCGUAGAUAUAUGGAGGAACACCAGUGGCGAAGGCGGCUUUUUGGUUUGUAACUGACGGUGAGGCUUGAAAGCGUGGGGAGCAAACCGGAUUA
rnacentral:rRNA from 1 species